rnacentral:piRNA from 1 species
UUUGUACGGUGCAUUAUGUAU